rnacentral:rRNA from 1 species
UACAGAGGGUGCAAGCGUUGUUCGGAAUCACUGGGCGUAAAGCGCGCGCAGGCGGAUGGUUGCGUCCGGAGUGAAAUUUCGCCGCUCAACGGCGAAGCUGCUUUUGGAUACGGACCGUCUAGGGGACCGGUAGAGGCUGGUAGAAUUGCAGGUGUAGCGGUGGAAAUGCGUAGAGAUCUGCAAGAAUACCCCGUGGCGAAGGCGGCCAGCUGGGGCCGGAUCCGACGCUGAGGCGCGAAAAGCGUGGGGGAGCAAACAGG